GACGAACCGUGCGAACGUUGUUCGGAAUCACUGGGCUUAAAGGGCGCGUAGGCGGGUUCGCAAGUCUGUGGUGAAAGCCUCCAGCUUAACUGGAGAAGUGCCGUGGAUACUGCGAAUCUUGAGGAGGGUAGGGGCGUCUGGAACGGUCGGUGGAGCGGUGAAAUGCGUUGAUAUCGACCGGAACUCCGGUGGCGAAGGCGAGGCGCUGGACCCUUUCUGACGCUGAGGCGCGAAAGCCAGGGGAGCAAACAGG
rnacentral:rRNA from 1 species